CGGGGCACAGCUGAGCUCUGUCCGGUCCUCACUCUUUCCUUCCUCCACCACCUGCUGAACACAGAGAGGGGCCCGGACGAGGUCCCCAGCCCCAAGGACCGCAGGUCUGGCCCGGGCAGCGGAGGAACCGGACUGGAGAACACACACACCGUGUGGCCCUGGGCAAGUGAGCCUGGCCUCUCUCUGCUCUUGUCUUCUCGUCUGUGACAUGGAGAUGACUAUCGAAUUGGCCGGGUGGCAGCAGCCAACAGGAUGCCAGGAGCCCCUGACUCCAGCCCUGUGGUGAACAUGCUGUGCAGGCUGAUUUCAGCAUAUGGACAGAACCUGUGAGUGUGGAAGGCAGCAGCAGCCAUGACCUUCCGUGAGCAGACCAUUUGAAGGUUCUGACUGCGUAUCUUGGCAGUUCUUUCAGGGGAACAGCUUGUCCGUGGAAAGAACUGAUAAUAAUGUGCAUUUCAACAUCGCGGGACAGACUCAAAGCAGGGCAGCAACGGUGGGGCGGUGGGGACAGAAGGGUGCUCCGGCCUGCAGGCUGGGGCUGGAGUUUGCUCCCAUACAAGGGCCACUCUCUCAAGAUAAAAGGCUCUGGUAGCGCCUGUAGCAACAAUGUUCAAAUGCCCUGGAGAACAAGUCGCUCUCAGAAGAACACGCUCUGCCGCUGGGAGGCCCUGGAGUUCUCCCAUACUCUGUGCACCAGCAAGAAGGCUGGCAAAGCACUUGCCCUGGCCCAGGGUCCUCCCCGCUGAGGCCCUGCCAACAUCAGGGGGUCAUUCUCUGCAGAGCCGUCCUGGGUGCUGUGGGGGUGAGCAGCAGCCCUGGCCUCACCCACUGGAAGCCAGGUGCUCCCCAUUCGUGACAAUCGCAAUGUCCCCAGACAUCACCCAGUGUCUCCUGGGGGCAAGGUGACCCUCAAUUAGGAAUCACAGAUUUAGCCCAAUAUAUAUAAAAUAGCGUUUCCACUGUGGCCGUUUCAGGCACUCAGCUGCCUGUGGCUGGCAGCUGCCAUACGGGAACUCACAGCAGCUCUGGGCACUGAGCUCAGCUCCAAGACAGUGUCAGGUCCAGAAGGGCAGCGGGCAUCACUGCAGCACGGGUGGCCCAAGCCCAGCGCCUCCCAAGGUGCCGGCCACUGCACUCAGCACGCUGGGGGGCCACGCGUCCUUACAAAGCCCUCCGCACGGCUGCCACGCUGGAGGGACCCUCACUUGCCCCUCCGUGAGGCAUCAGCUGGCUGUGGUCCCGGCCCUCCCAGAGCUUCCAGUGAGAAGAGCCACCCAGUGGACACAACCAUGUCCAAAAACGGUCGGAGAGAGAAACCGUAAGGCAGGUUCUCACCCUGCCCCCAGGGUCACCAGGCAGUGUCUGGGGACAUCUGUGGCUGUCCUGCGUGGGGGACUCCUGGAGGAGAGUGGGUGGGGCCAGGGAGGCUGCUCACCCGCUCCAGUGCCCAGGACACCCCCUGAGAGCGAAGUGGCCUCGAAGUCAGCAGAGCUGGGAGAGACUCCACAGUGGGGCUGUGGCUCUCACCAGAAUGUCCACUCUGUGAGAGUCCGGCUUUUCCUGGUCCCUGCCUCUCCCCCAGAGCCUGGCCUAGACACAUACUCAGAAUUCCUUGCUAGGAGAAGGAACGACAUCUUUGGGAGGGUCACUGGUGAGGAGUAACUGCCCGCCACCAGUCCCCACGCGCAGAGGCACCAGGUCUGUGAGGUGAGGAGGUGGUGUGUUGGGGGUGGUGGAUCUCAGGACAGGGCGGCCAUGGUACUCUACGUGCUGAACCAGAACGUCCCGGAGAACAGGGAUGGGCAUCCGCAGGUUUCCAAAGCCCAAGGACUUGGCUGCAAACAGCUGGGGCGCCCACCAGCAUCUCCACCCCGACCCGGCUCAAGGCCACUGUGCCGAGACCCCGUGGGCCUGCUCUGCCCCCUAGUGGCCACUCUGGGAAGCCCGCACUCUCUAAGGUCCCCGGGCUCAGCGCCCCAGGAGCAAACGCCCAAACUCCUGGUCAUCUUCUAGCCUUGGCGUCUGCAGGAAAUCAGAGCGGCAGAUCGGACUGCUGGUUCUGCUGCCAAGACAGGUGUUGGUGGCCCUCGCUUGGCGAUACCCCCGCCGCUCAGGGAUGGGAAACCCUAGCCCAAGUUUGCAUGCCUGGUACGCCUACAGGAUGUGCUCAACAAAGUGGCUGUUAAAUGAAGAAAUAAUCAGGGAAAACUUGGCACUUCUCCCCUUCGAGGAGCUCCUACAAGGAGCGGGUAACACAGAACCCUGCAAGAUCUGCCCACGGUGUGCCCGCUCCCCAGACAGCUCAGUCCAAGUCCCUCCAAGGGGGUCUCUCCUCUGCGUCACAUCGCCAGGUGUCCCCUGGGGGCGGGGGUCAGACUUAGCCCCAGUUAAGUUUCAAAUGGCUUGAAGAUUUAAGUGGAAAAUAGGCAAUCCAAACGAAUGCAGGCGAGUUGUUUAUUUCUUUAAUCUUGACGUUUGGAAGAAUGCGACACAAAACACGAAGGAGAACACUGGGGUACUCAACACAUUUAAAACUCCCUAUGCAAGCAGAGUGGAAAGACACGCUCAGAAAAAUGUUCACAGCGUAUGUGAUGGAAACCUGACAGCAUAGGAACAGAAAUACAAAAACUUCAAGCAAAUGUAUAUGAAGAGUUCAAACAAAUCAAGGAGAGAGAGAGAGAGAGAGACCCCACAUCAAGGUCAGCAGGGAACACAGCCAGGCCAUUUGCAGAAGAAACACCAGGGAGAAAAUGCUGAGACCGUGGCUAACCCAGGGGACGCAGACAAAGCGACACGGAGGUUGUCCUGGCCGGCCGGUCGGUGGGGAAAUGUGCACUUCUGGAGGUCGCUGCGGCUGAAUGUCUCAAACACAACAAAAUACCCUGGUUUUCAUGUGUGCGCACACAUGUGCUCUCUCUCUCUCACACACACACACACACACACACACACACGCAGCAAACCCAUUUAUGAGAAUUUACCCCAAAUGAUAACCAGCCAAGGAUGUACAAAGUUUGCCUGAGGACAUUCAUCCAUCCCAGAGCACAGCAAAAAAUAAAUAGAAAGAAAGAAAAACAGGAAAGG